rnacentral:lncRNA from 1 species
UUUCUUAUGUUUUAAGUGAUAUUGGAAAUUCUCAAAUUUUUUUUAUAGAAAUUGGUAUAAUUGACCGAAAAUGCAAGAAGUUACACGGUGUUCAUUCAUAUACUAUCCAUAAUGCCUAACCUCAAAAAAGUUUCAUUUCUAUAGUUUUAAGUGACAUUGAAAAUUCAUAACCUCGUUUUCUUAAAUAAAAUGCUUAUAAU